rnacentral:lncRNA from 12 species
UUUUUCUGUUCAGGUACUGGAAACUUCAGCGCAACUCAGUAGAGCUCUUACCUGCUGGCAUGUUCGAAAUUGGCGUUCCACAAACGUAUAAUGAAUGUAAAGUCGAAUUAUAGAAUAUCUGACUUAUCUACUUAUCUUUGGAGUUUAUUGUCAUGUGUCAGGAGAGGUCACGAGCUCAAACACAGUAUGGAAGAUUUGACGUUCUGAGACCUGAACAAAACCCACACGAGUACAUCCUUUGACAAGGAGAUUGAUGGAGGUUGCGGAGGCUGGUGAGCUACGUAUGCGCUACUACCCCUCGCUGCAUGGCAUACCCUAUGCUGGAAGUCUGUCUCCUUCUGAUGUAGACAUUGUCCUACAACAAGAAAACAAGUCAAGAAAAUCAUUGCUGUUUGAAAACCAAACUUCCACGUGAAAGUACGGAAGGGCUGUAACAAGCUACCUUAACCCAUGGGUGUCAAGUUCUACUGGAGGACUCUCCUAAGACAGUCUUCCAUGACUAUGAAGCCAUCCUCACCGCCAUCUUCCCGUUAACUCAAAGCUUUACCUCAUCGCUUCGAAAAAGUCCAGCCAAGAGAAUAAUAAACUACUGACGGACGUGUUUAUUUUAAUGUGC